rnacentral:rRNA from 1 species
UACGAACUGUGCGAACGUUAUUCGGAAUCACUGGGCUUACAGGGUGCGUAGGCGGCUCAACAAGUCAGGUGUGAAAGCCCCCGGCUCAACCGGGGAACUGCGCUUGAAACUGUUAGGCUCGAGUCAGCUAGAGGUACACGGAACUUCCAGUGGAGCGGUGAAAUGUGUUGAUAUUGGAAGGAACACCGGAGGCGAAAGCGGUGUACUGGGGCUGGUCUGACGCUGAGGUGCGAAAGCGUGGGGAGCAAACAGG